rnacentral:rRNA from 1 species
GGGAGCAUACAGGCUUAGAUACCGUGGUAGUCCACACUGUAAACGUUGGGAACUAGUUGUGGGGUCCAUUCCACGGAUUCCGUGACGCAGCUAACGCAUUAAGUUCCCCGCCUGGGGAGUACGGCCGCAAGGCUAAAACUCAAAGGAAUUGACGGGGACCCGCACAAGCGGCGGAGCAUGCGGAUUAAUUCGAUGCAACGCGAAGAACCUUAUCAAGGCUUGACAUAUACGAGAACGGGCCAGAAAUGGUCAACUCUUGGGACACUCGUAAACAGUUGGUGCAUGGUUGUCGUCAGCUCGUGUCGUGAGAUGUUGGGUUAAGUCCCGCAACGAGCGCAACCCUCGUUCUAUGUUGCCAGCACGUAAUGGUGGGAACUCAUGGGAUACUGCCGGGGUCAACUCGGAGGAAGGUGGGGAUGACGUCAAAUCAUCAUGCCCCUUAUGUCUUGGCUCUCACGCAUGCUACAAUGGC